rnacentral:rRNA from 1 species
UUCGUAGGCGGACUGGUAAGUCAGAGGUGAAAGCCAACGGCUCAACCGUUGAAUUGCCUCUGAUACUGUCAGUCUUGAGUCCGUCAGGGGAUGGUGGAAUUCCUGGUGUAGCGGUGAAAUGCGUAAAUAUCAGGAGGAACACCGGUGGCGAAGGCGACCAUCUGGGACGGAACUGACGCUGAGGAACGAAAGCAUGGGUAUCAAACAGGAUUAGAUACCCUGGUAGUCC